rnacentral:rRNA from 1 species
GACGAACGCUGGCGGCGUGCUUAACACAUGCAAGUCGAACGGAAAGGCCCCUUUGGGGGUACUCGAGUGGCAGACGGGUGAGUAACACGUGAGUAACCUGCCCUUGACUUCGGGAUAACUUCAGGAAACUGGGGCUAAUACCGGAUAGGAAUCCUUUCUUCAUGGGGGGGGUUGGAAAGCUUCGGCGGUUUUGGGUGGACUGGCGGCUUAUCAGCUUGCUGGUGGGGUAGUGGCUUACCAAGCCGUUGACGGGUAGCCGGCCUGAGAGGGCGACCGGCCACCUUGGGACUGAGAUGCGGCACAGACUCCUACGGGAGGCAGCAGUGGGGAAUAUUGCACAAUGGGCGGAAGCCUGAUGCAGCAACGCCGCGUGCGGGAUGACGGCGUUCGGGUUGUAAACCGCUUUCAGCAGGGGCGAAGCUUGUGGUGACGGUACCUGCAGAAGAAGCACCGGCUAACUACGUG